AUUGAACGCUGGCGGCAGGCCUAACACAUGCAAGUCGAGCGAGCGGCGGACGGGUGAGUAAUGUCUGGGAAACUGCCUGAUGGAUGGGGAUAACUACUGGAAACGGUAGCUAAUACCGCAUACCAUCAGAUGUGCCCAGAUGGGAUUAGCUAGUAUGUGGGGUAAUGGCACACCUGGGCUACGAACCGUAGCUGGACUGAGAGGUUGACCAGCCACACUGGAACGUAGACACGGUCCAGACUCCGACGGGAGGCAGCAGUGGGGAAUAUUGCACAAGGGGCGCAAGCCUGAUGCAGCGAUGCCGCGUGUGUGAAGAAGGUCUUCGGGUUGUAAAGCACUUUCAGCGGGGAGGCGUUACCCGCAGAAGAAGCACCGGCUAACUCCGUGCCAGCAGCCGCGGUAAUAC
rnacentral:rRNA from 1 species